rnacentral:rRNA from 1 species
UGGGGAAUAUUGGACAAUGGGCGAAAGCCUGAUCCAGCCAUGCCGCGUGUGUGAAGAAGGUCUUCGGAUUGUAAAGCACUUUAAGUUGGGAGGAAGGGCAUUAACCUAAUACGUUAGUGUUUUGACGUUACCGACAGAAUAAGCACCGGCUAACUCUGUGCCAGCAGCCGCGGUAAUACAGAGGGUGCAAGCGUUAAUCGGAAUUACUGGGCGUAAUGCGCGCGUAGGUGGUUUGUUAAGUUGGAUGUGAAAUCCCCGGGCUCAACCUGGGAACUGCAUUCAAAACUGACUGACUAGAGUAUGGUAGAGGGUGGUGGAAUUUCCUGUGUAGCGGUGAAAUGCGUAGAUAUAGGAAGGAACACCAGUGGCGAAGGCGACCACCUGGACUAAUACUGACACUGAGGUGCGAAAGCGUGGGGAGCAAACA